ensembl:lncRNA
UAUUGUAAAAGUCUGUGAAUGGACUUUGUAUUAAAACAGUUUUGAAAUGAAUAAAACUGAGGAAAAGCCGUUGUUUUGUUUAAAUUGAAACAACUCGGGGUGUGUGGGGGGGGGGUAAAUUUGGAUUAUCUCUAAAAAAUAUUUUAGAAUAAAACAUGUUUUGUCUGUGAUCAUGAUAAACAAAAUAACCUAGGGAAAUGUUAUAAAGAAUUGAAUUCCUGCCGCUAGUUGUGUUGUAAAGCACCUUGAAAGACCUGUCGACCGGGAUUACACACAGCGCUGCUGGGACUCACCCUUCACCUGAUCAACAAGAAGAAACACGGGUUGAUUUAAAAAGUUUCAUAGUUCGUCUCGUCGUCAGUGUUUCUGUUUUGACACCUUUGGAAGACAUCGAGUGUAAAUACUUUGGCGUUUUCGAUUCACGCGACGCUUCUGAAACUUCUGCGUGCGUAACGACAUUGGGAGACGAAAUGGGGGACAAUGAUGUUCAGAUGGAGAGUACCGAGCAAAUGCAGGAGCCUCACGCUUCAAGCUCGGACAAAAUCGACUUGUCAUUAGAUGACAUUAUAAAGCUGAAUAAGAAGGAACUAAAGGCAAGCCGAGCUGGCAACAUCGCUAAAACUAAACGUGCUGCUCACAGGAACAACGUCUUGAAGAAACUCCACCAGGUUCCACAGCAGCAGAGGGGACUCAGACGAGGGGCACAGCAGUACAGAGGGCCUGGCAGGGCGAGAGGUUUGAGGAGACAAAGGGGAUCCGGGAGGGACAUGAUGUCGAGAAGGGGUUCAUUAAAUAUAGCUGCUGCCACUGUCACGACCAGUGAACAUUUUGAUCAGACCACAUUCACAUCGAGGGGGACAUUCAGAGGACGAGGAAGAGGUAGAGGAAGAGGCGGCGGACUGAGCAGGGGUGCAUUGUCAGCAAGAGGACAGAGGGGUGGAAGACCAUUUGUAUUAGACAGAGGGUUUUCCGCUACAAAAAGAGCUGAGAGAUUACAGAGGUAUCAGACGAUAAGAAGUCGAAGAACAGCACCAUCUGGCUCCACGCUCACAGUUUCUCUGCCAAAUGCUAAACCUGCACCUGUCGCUGUGAAGACAUCUAAUCAGACAAGGAGGGGUGGGGCAGUGUUAAGGGGCAGAUCAUCUGGAGGAGCCGGUAUUUCUUCACCUAAGGGGAUUCCUCUGCAAUUUAACUACAAAGCAGCCAGUAACCAGACUGCCGUAUACCUUAAUGACCGCUUCACUGACCUGAGGUUUAGAGUGCGAGGACGGGGCUGGGGAAGAGGAAGAGGAGCUCUUGGAGGAGGUGGAAGAGGAAGAGGAAGAGGAAAUAUCUUUGGUGAUGGACGAGGUAGAGGACGAGGAAACAUUAUAGGUGGUGGCAGAGGCAGAGGACGGGGUGGGGUUGGUGUGACAGGAGGAGGAAGGGGCUUGAGAAGAGGGAGGGGAGGAUCAAGAGGAGCCGAUCGAACAGUAACUCUUCAGUGAUUAGAGUUACUACCAUUCAGUUUUAUGAAGUAGUAGUGUUUACUGUUAGUGAUGCACUGAAAUUUCCACAACCAACAAUAUUGGGGCGAAACAGAAAAAAAAAAAUCAGUUUCAUCCGAAAUAGUUUUGGAGGCCUGAAAUCAGUGACGCUUAACUACGACUGGUAAUAAACAGUUCAAUUACCCAAAUUUAAUUGACA